UCCCUCAGCCCCUCGUUUUUUGAUUGAGUCUGCGAGUGUACAGUUAUGUUCACUCCGGUCAGCUAAGACUUUAAACCAACAUUAAUAUGGGGAAGUCAACAUACAAGUCUUUUGUAAAACUCAGGUUAUCUGGAGUCGUUCGACAGUGCCCUGCUGAGAAAUACCCUGAAGCGGGGGCAUUUUGGGUACACAAGCACGAGGGAGCGGACACACCUUGCGUUUAUGGAGCACAACAAGAUUGUGGGACAGAAACCAUCCAGGGAUACUGAACGGUUUAAAAUCAACACGACAACAGUAAUGACACAACCACCUCAUUAUUCCCGAAACACAGUACAAAAACAUGUCAAAACAAUUCCCCUGCAAAAGGCUACUAUUGACAAGAAUGACCGCUCAAAGUCAAAUGGGCUGGGGGAGGUUUUACAGACAGUACUUUGAGAUGAGGAAGGGGUUUUCGGUUGUGCUUAGACAGUAAAUGUAUUGUGUAUGAGAGCGAUUAAGUGCCUUUUCUCCUCGAAGCUGUACAUGGCUCUGUAGCAUAAAAAAAUGCUAGACAUUCAGAUAUCAAAUCAUGUUUAUUUGUCAACAUUAAAAUACAGGAGAAUGUACACUAUGUAAUGCUAACUCAAGAGAACUGGGUAUUCAACAACGUUAUAUGGUAAAAGUAACAUUCAAAUAUAUAUAUAUAUAUAGUAUGAACAGCAUAGUACAGUUCAGUGUGUCUCAGGUGUAGGGACACACACGUGCUGAGAACUGUAGUUACACCAGAUAAUGUGAGUUCCUCAAUAUUUUAGCAGACAUCUUGGCUAUUUCAAGUCUUCUCCCAUUGAUUGAGACAGGUGGGUGUCCACUCCAAAGUGCUGAGUGUCAUGAUGACAGAGACCUGUCUAUCAAUGAGUGAGAAGACACGGAUGGUGGCACACCAUCUUUUUGGAGCAAAAAAAAGCAUUUAUUUUAAUAACGGGAGCAUUUGACAUUUUAUGACUCCCGUUUCCUCUGAUUCGAGGACAUUGCUAAGGUUGGUUGAAAAUACAUAUCCUGUGACUCCCAGUAAUGGAUACCAAAAAUCUUUAGUUAAAUCACAUUAUCUGGUGUAACAAUGUGUAUAUAAAAGAACUGGUGAUCAGCAGAUAGGAGAGGUGGUCAUGAUAAAAUUGCAAUUCCAAAAGAAACCUACAGUAAAUUCAGGGAAUAAUUGUAAAGCUGUGGGAGGAGUGUUGUCAUGAUCAAACUGUCAUUCAGCUCCUCAUCUGCUUGAAAUCCAUCAUAAUGUCUAAUCCCUCGAGGGGGAUACAGUUCACGGGAUACAGUUCUGCUACAAUGACACAUGCAGACAACAGAAUUAUGUUUCUGUAUCGAGAAUCCACUUCAGGAAGAAGCCCAGGCAUUAAACGUUAUUGUCUGCAAGACAACAAAAAAACAUACUCUAUUGUACAGUUUGAACAACAGUUGAACCGUGCCAGCAGAACAUCAACAUUAGGGUAGACUAGUUGUACAUGUAUAAAUUUUUCAGUUGUGCUGUGAUGCUUUACAUAGAUUUUGAACCUUUUCUAAUCAUAAUAGUAUCCACAGAUUGUGAGCUAAAGAUAAACCUUUCCUAAGAAUAUUAUAUUAUUUAUUGACUGACUAUGGUUUUCCAAAUCACCCAACACUGCUGUAAGGUUAACUGCUGUAAGGUUAAUAAACUCAGCCCAACAAGUUCUAGUCUUUCAGACUGGAAAAAAAUGUG